CUUUACUGUAGCCUGGAAUUGGCUUCGGGCUUCGCUUGCGCAGGAUAGGUGGGAGGCGUUGAAAGUUCCCUUGUGGGGGGACUGGAGCCAACGGUGAGAUACCACUCUGGCGAGGCCAGAAUUCUAACCCUGACCCGUGAUCCGGGCGGGAGACAGUUUCAGGUGGGCAGUUUGACUGGGGCGGUCGCCUCCUAAAAGGUAACGGAGGCGCGCAAAGGUUCCCUCGGUCCCGUUGGAAAUGGGACGAUAGAGUGCAAAAGCAGAAGGGAGCUUGACUGUGAGACCUACAAGUCGAACAGGGACGAAAGUCGGCUUUAGUGAUCCGACGGCACCGCGUGGAAGGGCCGUCGCUCAACGGAUAAAAGUUA
rnacentral:rRNA from 1 species